rnacentral:lncRNA from 12 species
AAAUAAAAUUUACUAUGGCAUUUCCUAAACUGAAAUUUACUAUCUUUUUCAGGUUUUAUUUCAGUAUAUGAAAGAACACAAUAUUACCUCUUUUAGGGAUAUAUUAUUAUCUCUGCCUGUCAUCUAAAAUUAACUAGAAAAAUCAUAUUACAAAGUGAAGUAUCAACAACUAAGCUGUGUGAAGUGCUGUAAUGAAGUGGGAGAAAGAGCAGAAUGUGACAAAAAUAUGACAAAGGAGUUAAGAAAAAUAUUUCAGGAACAAAGAGAACUAAUUAACUCAAGCAUAUGGUUCAUCUCACUCUGGUAAGAGCUAAAUGCCUUUUAUGCACUCCAACUGUUCAA